UCUUCCGGGCGACUCGCCCUGUCAGAAAAUUAGAAAAUGCUAAAAUAAAACCCGAAAAACUGAAGAAAAAAAAACAUGUGGCAACUUUAUGAAUGAAAGCGCCCACGAUAUCCACCGUAAACAAACACGUCCCUUUUGGUGUGAAGUCACCGAAAGACAACGACGUAUACCUCAGAUCAUUCAUGGAAAGCCAUCUUCUAUAUUAAAAAUGCCACUGCUACUACAACACGAGUGCCACUGAAGACCUCUGUGAUUCCCCCACCCCUCCGUGCCAGGACUGCUCUUCUCCCUUUGGAUCUAUUAGUUUGAAAUCGUUUGGGUGACGACUCUUUGAAAGUGGUGGUCAUUCUGGGAUGCCAUGUUCAAAAUGAAACAAAGACCUCCCUUUUAUGCACAAAUGCUAAUUAAAUUUUUUACCCCCCCAUCCCCAAGCUGCAGAGGGAGAGACUUGGUAGCAAUUUGGCAGAUAAUCAAAUUGCAUUUUAAAUGGAGCCGUUUAAAGAUGACUGGAGUCUGCUCACAGGAAGACACUGGCACGAAUUAAGCUUGAAUGAACUGCUAUGUGCAUGGAGGAACAAUACAACAACAUUCACAUCACAAUAGGUAGCUGCAUUUAUGUAAAUGGUCAACAUGCAAUGUUUGAUUUAUGUUUUUUUUAAUUCAUUAAAAGGAAACCAGGUUUG